UUUCCGUAGGUGAACCUGCGGAAGGAUCAUUACAAGGAACACGUGCUUGCGUCCAUCGCAUGUCACAGUUUCAACCCCACUCCGAGUACUAUUUCCUGUUGCUUCCGCGGGGCGGCGCGCUUCCGCGUGCCACCGCGAAGGGUUGACCCUUUGUCGGGUUUUCCCUGAGCGGAACAGUCUCUGCGGGAGGUACACGAGCAAACCCUUUGCUUUUUGGUGACCUCUGUCUGACUUUGUACGUAACAAACGUUAAAACUUUCAACAACGGAUCUCUUGGUUCUC
rnacentral:misc_RNA from 1 species